rnacentral:rRNA from 1 species
UGGGGAAUAUUGCACAAUGGGGGAGCCCUGAUGCAGCAACGCCGCGUGAAGGAAGACGGUUUUCGGAUUGUAAACUUCUAUCAAUAGGGACGAAAGAGAUGACGGUACCUAAAUAAGAAGCCCCGGCUAACUACGUGCCAGCAGCCGCGGUAAUACGUAGGGGGCAAGCGUUAUCCGGAAUUACUGGGUGUAAAGGGUGAGUAGGCGGCACUGUAAGUAAGAUGUGAAAGCCUUAGGCUUAACCUGAGGAUUGCAUUAUAAACUACAGAGCUAGAGUACAGGAGAGGAAAGCGGAAUUCCUAGUGUAGCGGUGAAAUGCGUAGAUAUUAGGAAGAACACCAGUGGCGAAGGCGGCUUUCUGGACUGGAAACUGACGCUGAGGCACGAAAGCGUGGGGAGCGAACAGGAUUAGAUACC